GAUGAACGCUGGCGGCGUGCCUAAUACAUGCAAGUCGAGCGAACAGACGAGGAGCUUGCUCCUCUGACGUUAGCGGCGGACGGGUGAGUAACACGUGGAUAACCUACCUAUAAGACUGGGAUAACUUCGGGAAACCGGAGCUAAUACCGGAUAAUAUAUUGAACCGCAUGGUUCAAUAGUGAAAGACGGUUUUGCUGUCACUUAUAGAUGGAUCCGCGCCGCAUUAGCUAGUUGGUAAGGUAACGGCUUACCAAGGCAACGAUGCGUAGCCGACCUGAGAGGGUGAUCGGCCACACUGGAACUGAGAACAGGUCCAGACUCCUACGGGAGGCAGCAGUAGGGAAUCUUCCGCAAAGGGCGAAAGCCUGACGGAGCAACGCCGCGUGAGUGAUGAAGGUCUUCGGAUCGUAAAACUCUGUUAUUAGGGAAGAACAAAUGUGUAAGUAACUAUGCACGUCUUGACGGUACCUAAUCCGAAAGCCACGGGUAAAUACGUG
rnacentral:rRNA from 1 species